UUAACACAAUAAGUAAAAGCUGAGUCAACCAAAGCGCAAAUUUUGCAUUGUUUGAUUAAAGAAGUGCUAGAAGUACUGUACACUAGUUCUAAUGAUAGCUCCUGUCGAAGUUUUAUAUUUCCUGAAUCCCCAAUGUGCAAAAAAUUUAAAUCUACUAAUUGUUCAGUUAAAACACGAGGAAAACAUGGUGUCAACCACGUGCCAACGCACGCGUGUUAGCCGGCAUGUCAACGGCGUCUGACACGCCGGCUGAGAAAAAGAAGAGGAAAGAAAAAAAGAAGGAUACGCCAAGAAACCAAACUAAGUGUGUUGCCUAUAGCUUGAAAUUUAGCAUAGCGGAUAGAUUAUAAAGCUCCUUUUGAAAUGUUUAUGCCUAUUUGUUGCAAUGCCUUGAACUUAUAGAUAAGGCAUGAUUCUCUGUAUUUUCUUUCUCGUUCAGAACGGAAAUUUGUAAGAUGUAGAGUUGUCAUUUUCAGUUCUUGGCGUUGCUCACGAAAAAAAUUUUGAUGGCAGUCACUUUGUGCUGCUAUAAUUAGACGCCAUGUCACAGUGUCAACCUCAAAUUAAUAAAGCAAAUUAGCUUACAGUUUCUAUACAUACUGUCUUUGCAGGAGUUUGAUCUCUGUAUGAAAGCUGCAAAAUGUACUCAAACAAAGCAUAGUUUAAAAAUGUACAAGAAGCAACAUCAUUCUUGUCACUUUUUUAUAUCUUCUUUUUCUUCAAUUCCAUUAUGCUUCGCUCUAAAAUUUUGCCCUGAGAAAAACAAAUGCUUCAUCCUCAUCAGGAAAAGAGAGAAGAUGUCACUGAACCUCUUCUUCAUAACUACUGAGUUCCACAACAUGUCUACGAUUCAACUUUGUAACGCUAGUUCUGUGCAUUACACACCCUGAAAUGCAGACUGAACAUACAAGUGUCCAGGGUACUUAAUCUUCUUUCUUCUUCUAAAUUACCCCAUAAGAUAUUCUGCACAGCCAACGUGGGCUUACAAUAAACCGAUUCCCCUUGACACACUGCAUACAUGUAACAUUUGCUUUAUUUUAUUAUCCUGAUCAGCUUUCAAGUCAUAGAAGGAAAAGGUGGAGAAAGACACACGCAGUCGCUUCAUUGCAAGGACAGGUACAGAGACUUGCGGCCACCUGAAAAAGAAGCAUUUCUACUUCGUCUGUCACCGGUCUGGAAGUUAUGCUUCACAAGCUACAAGUAAACAAAAGCUGAAGCGGCCUUCAAGUGUCAAGUGUGGAAAAAGAUGUUUUGCGGCAAUGGCUGUGACUGAAGACAACACAGGGCACUAAACUUCAGUAAAAAAAAUUUUAUGAGCCGCACAUUCUAGCAGACAAAAUAAACUGCAAGUACAUUGCUGGAGAAAAAGAAUGUCUCAUGUUGGUCUUGCAUAUAUAAGUUACACUGUUCUACAAUACGCUUGGACGAAAAUGAAAAGAAAAUGGUGGCACCUAUGGUUUGGAAAAUAUGACAAGCUGCGAGAAGGCGUGUCCAUGGAUGCAGUACUGGAUAAUGUGCGGUCCAACGUGGAUGAGACAUUCCACCGCAUUAACCUGUUAAGCAAGCAGGAUCUCCGCAAAAUAAUGAGGGAUGCCAGAGUCUCGAAGACCGAGCGGCUGCACGAUAAUGACUAUGUGAGCAUGCAACUCUGGGUUGAGAGGAUGCAUAGUGAAAAGGAAAACCCAUUGCUCUUCAUUAAACACCAAGGACAACCCGACAAAAAGUGACAUUUUCUUAGAGAAAAAAAAUGAGGACCUUUUGGAUGACAGAGAUCUUAUGCUAGUCAUCAUGACCACACCACAACAGGAGCUUUUCAAGAGGCUUGAAACUGAUCGUAUAUGUGUCGAUGGAACACAUGGAACAGCAGGUGAGCAGUACUAUAUAAAUGCAUUAAUAAUAAAAGCAAGAAAGAGGGAAUGCUGUCCGAGAAUAAUUGCAAUAGAUAUGAUGAGUAGUAUUCCUUCACACAUGAUAUUUCUCUUAAUUUUUCA